rnacentral:rRNA from 1 species
UACGUAGGACCCAAGCGUUAUCCGGAAUUACUGGGCGUAAAGCGUACGUAGGUGGAGAUUUAAGUGAGAUGCGAAAUCUGGCGGCUCAACCGUCUAGACUGUGUCUCAUACUGGGUUUCUUGAGGUUGGCAGAGGCAAGUGGAAUUUCCGGUGUAGCAGUGAAAUGCGUAGAGAUCGGAAGGAACACCAAUGGCGAGGGCAGCUUGCUGGGCCACACCUGACACUGAGGUACGAAAGCGUGGGGAGCGAACAGG